rnacentral:rRNA from 1 species
GUGGGGAAUAUUCCGCAAUGGACGAAAGUCUGACGGAGCAACGCCGCGUGAGUGAUGAAGGUUUUCGGACCGUAAAGCUCUGUUGUUUAGGACGAAAGUGCCUGUUGCAAAUAGUUACAGGUAUUGACGGUACUGAACGAGGAAGCCACGGCUAACUACGUGCCAGCAGCCGCGGUAAUACGUAGGUGGCAAGCGUUGUCCGGAAUUAUUGGGCGUAAAGAGCAAGUAGGCGGGAAUCUAAGUCUGUUGUGAAAAUGCGGGGCUCAACCCCGUAUUGCGAUGGAAACUGGGUUUCUUGAGUGCAGGAGAGGAAAGGGGAAUUCCCAGUGUAGCGGUGAAAUGCGUAGAUAUUGGGAGGAACACCAGUGGCGAAGGCGCCUUUCUGGACUGUGUCUGACGCUGAGAUGCGAAAGCCAGGGUAGCGAACGGGAUUAGAAACCCUAGUAGUCC